rnacentral:rRNA from 1 species
UACGUAGGGGGCUAGCGUUGUCCGGAAUCAUUGGGCGUAAAGAGCGUGUAGGCGGUCCGGUAAGUCCGCUGUGAAAGUCGGGGGCUCAACCCUCGAAUGCCGGUGGAUACUGUCGGGCUAGAGUGCGGAAGAGGCGAGUGGAAUUCCUGGUGUAGCGGUGAAAUGCGCAGAUAUCAGGAGGAACACCUAUUGCGAAGGCGGCUCACUGGCCCGGUACUGACGCUGAGGUGCGAAAGCGUGGGGAGCAAACAGG